ensembl:lncRNA
GAAGGCUGUGAGGAAGCCACAUGCUGUUUUUCAUCUCCCAGCAUUGUACCCUUACUCCUCCUCUUUAUAUUGAAGUAACACAGUGAAACAUGCUGUGUGUAUCUGGGGGAGGAGAGGAAAACAGAGAAGUUGCAACUAUGGGGAUGGAUUUGGAGCAAUCCAGAUUUCAUUUGCCCCCUUUCCACAAGAAGGUUGUGGAAGCUGUGCUCCUGACCCAUUUGUUCUUCCAUUACGCUGUAAUGUUUGGAAAAAUACACAGCAGGAUUUAUGGAAAGUGCUUCAAAGCCUAAUUUUCCUCUCCAAAUCUCCAGCAGGUAUCUCUCCGAGCUCCGCUUCACAUGAGGAGUACGUGCAGCUGACCUCCUGAACUGGGCAUGGAAGAAGCAGAGAAAGCCAGUAAGGAAAAAGAAUUAGUUAGGUUCUGUGGAGUAGAGAACAUCAUCCUAAGCAUGUCAGCUGAUGGAAACCAAAUAGGAGACAGCAGAACUCAGGCAUUCGAAGGGUCUGCUUUGAAACAAAGGAAGACAUCUUAGCAUCCCUCUCUACCUGUCUUCAUAAAUUAUGUGUGCUAAUGACACGCUAUUAGAAUUACGGAUCUCGUUUGUAACAGAUCAUGUAUAGAACAAAUUGCCUCUUAUCCUGAUUCCAAACUGGGCACCGACAGCUCACCUUGUAGCGGUUGUGACUGCAGGGCCAUCUAAAGACCAAGUUAUUCAGGCUCACAAGCACAUGCAUAUCUGGGAUUGACAUCUUCAUUGCAAAGAUGGAACUAAAAUAAAUUCAGAGGAAAAAGAUGCAGAUAUUUAAUUUCCAACAGUAGUGUCCAAAUCAGGAGAGGAACUGUGGUGGUCUUUAGUGAGUGUGAUGAGCAUUAUCCACUCUUUAAGUAACAUGUUGGCUCAGUAUUUUCACUUUGUCACACUUUGUAACAGCUGGAUUUCUAACUGAGGCAGUGCAUCAUCCCAUCAUGGCCUGACCUGAUGUCUCCACCUCACAGCAGAAUAAUUCUAUACAAAAGAGUUAUUUUGCAGAUUCUGUUCACUCUUUAAUUUUAGUGCAAGAUCUCCUGCCCUGUUUUGCCAAUUGACCAUGAAAGCCACAUGUUAUGAAUUUCAUUUCCUGACUGGAUAAAAAUGUGACAGAUUGAGGAUGACAUAUGCUCACAUCAGCUCUUCAGAGUGGAAAAUAAAAUGUCUGCUUACAAACUUUUGGAACAGGAAAAGGGUUAGGAUUGAUUUGGAAGCUAAGCAAACCCUUAUCUGUUCUUCUGAUUCAGAACUAGAGGCCAGGUUUGCCAGGGCUGUGGGAGCUCUCUGUGUUCCAACAGGUCAUUAAAGUUGAACUGCCUUAUUUUUCUGCUUAAAAAGGAAAGGGUUGUGAACAUGUUUGACAGUUAAGGACAUUUGUUCAGCAUCUUCUUCAUUUUACAAAGUCCCACGUCCUCACUGCACUUUUCCCUGUUCCCAUCACAGAAUCUCUCUCUGUUGUGCUCAGGCCUUGGAAUCACCCAAGGUCACUACUGCAAAACACAGCGUGCCCUGAGGACCUCCCCAGCCUUUCUGCACAGGUGUGAGCUGGCUCAUGAUGAUGACAGUAUCCACUGAGGACCAGAAAGCUAUAAACAGUACUAUAAACUCAAAGAUGUGUGUAUAGCACCAGAGGUAAAGCAUUCCCAUACUGACGUGGAAUCUAAUUCCAGCCAAUGAUUUGUAACAAUCAUGAACUUAACCUGGAAGGAGACAGGGUGAAAAAUGCCUUCAUUAUAAGGACUGAUCAUUAGUGGAUGUGAAGUUGAGAAGAUGAUGAAGAUGAGUUGUUGGGUCUGGCAGAGAAUUGACCCAUCAGUGUCAUUAAGUGAACUGCGGCAAGCCCAGCAAUUCCCAUGGGGCAAAUCAUUGAAUUCCUCAGGAGCAAAGGUCUGUGUCUGUCUAUACCAAAGCACUUUGAAAUGUACACACAUGCAGUUUGCAGUAGUCUGAUGGAUAACUAAACAAUUACACAGGCAGUAACUGAUUUGUCCUUCUCUUUUCAUGAAAGAAACAACCUUUAAGGUACUGUGUUUUAGUUUCCUUUCUAUGUGACGGUUUAAAUAACGUUUAUAUCCACUGCCCUUUCAACUCUGUAUUACCAAAGUUCAGCUCCAAGCUGCAUCCACCUCCCAACACACAAAAGCUCUGUAUUAAAAAUGUUAAUUGCAAUUCUGAGUUCUUUUCCUUCUAAAUACUGAACGACAAGACCGGCUCUCUGAGCUCUAAGGAAUUUGUAAUCAAUGUUUUUCACAUAGCUGUAAAAACACCUUCCUGUAGAGCAGCCUCAGUGACAAGCAACUGAAUGAAAAACGAGCACUGUAUGUUCAAUGUUUUUUUCUAAACUAUGCUUUAAUUGCAAACGGUAAUUUUACGUAAUUGACCUAUUAAUCAUAAAAUAAA